CUUACUGGUGGGGACUCUGAAGCAUCCUGAGGUAGGCAGGGCAUCACAUGGUUGGAGCAGAAGGAACAGCCAGGGAAAUGCAUCCAUUUAACCUUCCAGACUCUGGAGUCCACCUUCUUUGUUUUAAGUAAAUUUUAGAUGCAGAGGCCAUGAACUCAGCUUAUAAUCAGCCUUAUUGCUCAUUCACUUAUUCCAUAUUCAAGAUAUUUAAUGCUCAUAUUGCUCUGACAACAUGCCAAGGAUCUUCAGCUGACACCUCCCUGCAUACUCUACUGGGUGAUAUCUCUUCUGAUUUGUUUUUGUGACUGUUCUGAUUAGUUGGACUCAUGCU
rnacentral:lncRNA from 10 species